UACGUAGGUCCCGAGCGUUGUCCGGAUUUAUUGGGCGUAAAGCGAGCGCAGGUGGUUUAUUAAGUCUGGUGUAAAAGGCAGUGGCUCAACCAUUGUAUGCAUUGGAAACUGGUAGACUUGAGUGCAGGAGAGGAGAGUGGAAUUCCAUGUGUAGCGGUGAAAUGCGUAGAUAUAUGGAGGAACACCGGUGGCGAAAGCGGCUCUCUGGCCUGUAACUGACACUGAGGUUCGAAAGCGUGGGUAGCAAACGGG
rnacentral:rRNA from 1 species